UACGUAGGGUGCAAGCGUUGUCCGGAAUUAUUGGGCGUAAAGAGCUCGUAGGCGGUUUGUCGCGUCUGCUGUGAAAACCCGAGGCUCAACCUCGGGCCUGCAGUGGGUACGGGCAGACUAGAGUGCGGUAGGGAGAUUGGAAUUCCUGGUGUAGCGGUGGAAUGCGCAGAUAUCAGGAGGAACACCGGUGGCGAAGGCGGGUCUCUGGGCCGUAACUGACGCUGAGGAGCGAAAGCGUGGGGAGCGAACAGG
rnacentral:rRNA from 1 species